rnacentral:rRNA from 1 species
UACGUAGGGCGCAAGCGUUAUCCGGAAUUAUUGGGCGUAAAGAGCUCGUAGGCGGUUUGUCGCGUCUGCCGUGAAAGUCCGGGGCUCAACUCCGGAUCUGCGGUGGGUACGGGCAGACUAGAGUGAUGUAGGGGAGACUGGAAUUCCUGGUGUAGCGGUGAAAUGCGCAGAUAUCAGGAGGAACACCGGUGGCGAAGGCGACAUCCUGGACCGGUAUUGACGCUGAGGCGCGAAAGCCAGGGGAGCAAACGGG